rnacentral:rRNA from 1 species
AUUGAACGCUGGCGGCAUGCUUUACACAUGCAAGUCGAACGGUAACAGGCCGCAAGGUGCUGACGAGUGGCGAACGGGUGAGUAAUGCAUCGGAACGUGCCCAGUCGUGGGGGAUAACUGCUCGAAAGAGCAGCUAAUACCGCAUACGAUCUAUGGAUGAAAGCGGGGGACCGUAAGGCCUCGCGCGAUUGGAGCGGCCGAUGUCAGAGUAGGUAGUUGGUGGGGUAAAGGCUCACCAAGCCAACGAUCUGUAGCUGGUCUGAGAGGACGACCAGCCACACUGGGACUGAGACACGGCCCAGACUCCUACGGGAGGCAGCAGUGGGGAAUUUUGGACAAUGGGGGCAACCCUGAUCCAGCAAUGCCGCGUGCAGGAAGAAGGCCUUCGGGUUGUAAACUGCUUUUGUACGGAACGAAACGGUCUGGGUUAAUACCCUGGGCUAAUGACGGUACCUGAAGAAUAAGCACCGGCUAACUACGUGCCAGCCGCCGCGGUAAGAC